GUAUUCCUACGAUGCCCUGGAGAAGAAGCAGUUUCUCCCCGUGGCCUUUCCUGUGGGAAACGCCUUCUCAUACUAUCAGAGCAACAGAGGCUUCCAGGAAGACUCAGAGAUCCGAGCUGCUGAGAAGAAAUUUGGGAGCAACAAGGCCGAGAUGGUGGUACCUGACUUCUCGGAGCUUUUCAAGGAGAGAGCCACAGCCCCCUUCUUUGUAUUUCAGGUGUUCUGUGUGGGGCUCUGGUGCCUGGAUGAGUACUGGUACUACAGCGUCUUCACGCUAUCCAUGCUGGUGGCAUUCGAGGCCUCGCUGGUGCAGCAGCAGAUGCGGAACAUGUCGGAGAUCCGGAAGAUGGGCAACAAGCCCCACAUGAUCCAGGUGUGGCUGCCGGGGAGACCCAGGUGGGGGUUGCGGCACAGGUGCAGCUUCUGUGCUGACACCCAUGCCCCACCCAGGUCUACCGAAGCCGCAAGUGGAGGCCCGUUGCCAGUGAUGAGAUCGUACCGGGGGACAUCGUCUCCAUCGGUGAGGCCGGGUUCCGCUCAGUCCCAGUGGGAGCCCCAGCCUCAGGGCCUCUGGCCAACCCUCCUGCCUCUGCCCUGCAGGCCGCUCCCCACAGGAGAACCUGGUGCCGUGUGACGUGCUUCUGCUGCGAGGCCGCUGCAUCGUAGACGAGGCCAUGCUCACAGGGGAGUCUGUGCCACAGAUGAAGGAGCCCAUCGAAGACCUCAACCCAGACCGGGUGCUGGACCUCCAGGCUGACUCCCGGCUACACGUCAUCUUCGGGGGCACCAAAGUGGUGCAGCACAUCCCCCCACAGAAAGCCACCACAGGCCUGAAGCCGGUUGACAGCGGGUGUGUGGCCUACGUCCUGCGGACUGGAUUCAACACAUCCCAGGGCAAGCUGCUGCGCACCAUCCUCUUCGGGGUCAAGAGGGUGACUGCGAACAACCUGGAGACCUUCAUCUUCAUCCUCUUCCUCCUGGUGUUUGCCAUCGCUGCAGCCGCC
rnacentral:sRNA from 1 species